AACGAACGCUGGCGGCAGGCUUAACACAUGCAAGUCGAACGAGAUCUUCGGAUCUAGUGGCAGACGGGUGAGGAACACGUGGGAACAUCCCUUUCAGUUCGGAAUAACGUUGGGAAACUAACGCUAAUACCGGCUACGUCCUUCGGGAGAAAGAUUUAUCGCUGAAAGAUUGGCCCGCGUCUGAUUAGCUAGUUGGUGAGGUAACGGCUCACCAAGGCUACGAUCAGUAGCUGAUCUGAGAGGAUGAUCAGCCACAAUGGGACUGAGACACGGCCCAAACUCCUACGGGAGGCAGCAGUGGGGAAUAUUGGACAAUGGGCGCAAGCCUGAUCCGGCCAUGCCGCGUGAGUGAUGACGGCCUUCGGGUUGUAAAGCUCUUUUGUCCGGGAAGAUAAUGACUGUACCGGAAGAAUAAGCCCCGGCAAACUUCGUGCCAGCCGCCGCAGUAA
rnacentral:rRNA from 1 species